rnacentral:rRNA from 1 species
UCGGCUUAGAGUUUGAUCCUGGCUCAGGACGAACGCUGGCGGCGUGCCUAAUACAUGCAAGUCGAACGCUCGAGUGCUUGCACUCAAGGAGUGGCGGACGGGUGAGUAACACGUGGGUAACCUGGCCAUCACAGGGGGAUAACACUUGGAAACAGGUGCUAAUACCCCAUAACAAUCAAGCCGCAUGGUGUUGGUUGAAAGACGUCCGUGUCACUGAUGGAUGGACCCGCGGGGCAUUAGCUACUUGGGGAGGUAACGGCUCACC